CCGUGGCCUGCAUGAUGCACUUGGGCAGCAGCCCGUGGCUCCAUGCUAGGAUGGCCACCUGCUCUGCCGAGACACUCAGCGUUCUCCUCUGCAUGCCUGUG